UUCGAGCUAUAAUCCGGAAAAUCCAUCGAUUACUUUUUGAGUUAUUAGCGUUUGAAAUCUGUUGCAAUUUCGUGACGGUCGCAAAAUUUUAGAUUUUCAUUUUACACCCAGUGCCGUGGUACAGUACCGUACCUUCCCCUUAGACGUAGUUUUCGUCAAAAUACCCAUGUUUGGAAACCAUCCUUCACCCCAUUAAUGGGUGAAAAAUAGUUGUAAAAAUUCGUCGUCGCUUCCUCGUUUGUCAUCUUCAGUCUCAACUAUUUAGAAGUUAAUUAUUCCCACGAUACUACUUUUAUAUUUUGGCGAAUCAUGUUCCGGUUCACAUAAAAAGUUACGCCAUCAAGAACCAGAUGUUUUGCAUGAUGUCUUCAAGGCGAAUUUCAAUGCUCCCGGAACAAAAUCCGCUGCAUCUGUUCUAAGUGGAUGCAUCAGACGCACAGCAGGACCCAGACCAGACCAGGUUCCGAAAGCCUUGAGCCUUAUCGCAAUCCUACUAAAUGGAUCCAGUUCUGUGCAGCGACUGAAUGGAAUCUGAUGGGACGCCAAAGAAUUUGACUGGGAGAAUCCGGAGAAACUUGAGCAAGUGAAUAUGUUUUUAACAAGUUAAUGUUGUAUUAUAUGUUUAUUAUGUAAUUCAAAUAAAGCUCAUACAAAUCUGGCGUA